ACUCCUACGGGAGGCAGCAGUGGGGAAUAUUGCACAAUGGGGGAACCUGAUGCAGCCAUGCCGCGUGUGUGAAGAAGGCCUUCGGGUUGUAAAGCACUUUCAGUAGGGAGGAAGGUAGUGUAGUUAACACCUGCAUUAUUUGACGUUACCUACAGAAGAAGCACCGGCUAACUCCGUGCCAGCAGCCGCGGUAAUACGGAGGGUGCGAGCGUUAAUCGGAAUUACUGGGCGUAAAGCGCAUGCAGGCGGCCUGUUAAGUCAGAUGUGAAAGCCCGGGGCUUAACCUCGGAAUUGCAUUUGAAACUGGCAGGCUAGAGUCUUGUAGAGGGGGGUGAGAAUUCAGGUGUAGCGGUGAAAUGCGUAGAGAUCUGAAGGAAUACCAGUGGCGAAGGCCGG
rnacentral:rRNA from 1 species